CGGAGGAGCACGAAGGUUAGCUAAUCCUGGUCGGACAUCAGGAGGUUAGUGCAAUGGCAUAAGCUAGCUUGACUGCGAGCGUGACGGCGCGAGCAGGUGCGAAAGCAGGUCAUAGUGAUCCGGUGGUUCUGAAUGGAAGGGCCAUCGCUCAACGGAUAAAAGGUACUCCGGGGAUAACAGGCUGAUACCGCCCAAGAGUUCAUAUCGACGGCGGUGUUUGGCACCUCGAUGUCGGCUCAUCACAUCCUGGGGCUGAAGUAGGUCCCAAGGGUAUGGCUGUUCGCCAUUUAAAGUGGUACGCGAGCUGGGUUUAGAACGUCGUGAGACAGUUCGGUCCCUAUCUGCCGUGGGCGCUGGAGAAUUGAGGGGGGCUGCUCCUAGUACGAGAGGACCGGAGUGGACGCAUCACUGGUGUUCGGGUUGUCAUGCCAAUGGCACUGCCCGGUAGCUAAAUGCGGAAGAGAUAAGUGCUGAAAGCAUCUAAGCACGAAACUUGCCCCG
rnacentral:rRNA from 1 species